GUUACGAAUAACGAGCUGCAGCAUUUGGAGUCGAGAAAGGGAGGGGGCGAAGAGGAGGAUUCACGUCUUUGUUAGAACCCUAACAAGGAAGACGAUCGCUCUUGAGGUUGAGAGCAGAGACACCGUCGACGAGGUCAGAUCUAAGAUCCAGAGAGGAGAAUUCAUGUAUACGUUGCGAUGGUCUUCUUGAACGGAACUUGGAAUGCUAAUUAUGUCUUCAAGUCCAUUCAAGAAUUCAUCUUGAAGCAAUUAUAUAUUGUCGUUGUUGCAGCCAUUCAAGGAUAAAUUGGCCAUGAGAGGUUUCUUCCUCAGACAUUUCGAUAGAGUUUGAUUUGCUUUGAAAGAAGUGGCAAGGACAUUUUCAUCGGAUGUUCCUCGAAGAACUAAACGUCUGAGAUUUAGGAGAGGGGUAGCACAUAAUGGAAGUAGCAUGUAAUCUGACAUAGAAGUGCCUAAUUUGCUACAAUCUGCUCAUAUGGACCUCGCUGAUGCUAUGUCUGAUAUUUGGUGAACCAGAAGUAAUCAUGAUUGACGGCAAACAUGGGAUAUCAGGGAACUAGAAUCAGUGAGCUCAGCACAUAUCUAUAUUUGAUCUUGAUUUGAUAAAGAUGUCCUGAAAAGCAGGACAAGGAAGGCAUUUCCUCGGAUUAACAGAGAUUGACUUUUGCCGGGAGCCAGCUGGAAUAUGGUUGAAACACUUGCGGAUUACAAUACUUAAAAAGGAGUCUACAUUUCAUCUGAUUCCGAGGCUUAGGUUUGGAAUGAUAACAAAGGCAAAGACUUUAACAGGAAAAGAGAUUGAAAAUGGGCAUUGAACCCACAUACACUGUUUGUAGGAUCGAGGAAUGGGUUGGGGUGAUAGGGAAUACCCAACUUUCUUUUACUUGAUCACCUGGGCUCAUUAGAUGGACCACGGACCAAUUGGUACCAUGUGGUUCUCAAGGACUGCUGGUUUACUAAGGCCAAGUGAAUCGUACUUACUGCUGGAAUUGUUAUAAAAGGGGAGAAAUAGACAUGGUGAGUGAAAUAAUAUGCUCAUAGGUUUGUCGAGAAAUGCUACCUCGGUCUCACCAUGUUAAUUCUAGUUCUGUUUUGGCCGAGGGUUACUUUGUAAACACAAGAUAUUAGCAUGUGCAACUUAAACCAUUCGAUGUCUGAGUCGACAAUCAUUAGCAACAAUGUAUUAGCCAUUCAAUGUCUGAACACAAGAUAUUAGCAAUGUAUUUGCUACUCGUUUCCUACA